GUGGUUUCCCAGAAGACUGAUCAAAGACCGGGAAUUUUCUCUAGAAGAGACGUCUAGUACUUCACUAACUCCAGCACUAUCACAGGCGUGCAUAAGACAUUCAGUGGAGCUGCAGCAAGCAGUAUAAAUGGUGCAUAAGGCAUUCAGUGGAGCUGCACCUUAAUGGGAUGCUAGAAAUCUGCAGCAAGUGGUAUAAAUGGUGCAUAAGGCAUUCAGUGGAGCUGCACCUUAAGGCAAUAGUAAUGGAUGCUGUGAGAAAAAAUCUGCAGCAAGCAGUAUAAAUGGUGCAUAAGGCAUUCAGUGGAGCUGCACCUUAAGGCAAUAGUAAUGGAUGCUGUGAGAAGAAAUUCUGUUUGCUCUGCCAACAGUCCACCCGUUUACAGUAAUAAGUAUGCUGAUAUGACUUAAUAAAUACAAAUCACAAUGAAAUGCAUUUAAUCUUUGUGUUUUUUUGUUGUUGUAAAAAUAUCUUUUGACAUAUAGGCUAAUUUAACAGUAUGAGCCUAGUGCACUAGGACAUAGCAAUUCAUGUAUAAAACUAAUGUAGACAUAUUGCAAAAUGCAAAAUUAAA